GAUGAACGCUAGCUACAGGCUUAACACAUGCAAGUCGAGGGACCGGCGCACGUGUGAGUAACACGUAUCCAGCCUGCCCUUUACUCGGGGAUAGCCUUUACAAAGUAAGAUUAAUACUCUAUAUAAAGAGUGGGGAUGCGUUCCACUAUGUUGUUGGUGAGGUAACGGCUCACCAAGCAUUCGAUGGAUAGGGGUUCUGAGUGGAAGGUCGCCCGCAUUGUAACGGAGACCCGGACCAAACUCUGACGCGCGGCAGGCGUGCGGAACAGUUGUCAAUGGUUGCUAGCCUGACCCAGCCAGGUAGCGUGAAGGUGGGAGGCUGUUGGGUCGUAAACAUCUUUUAUAUAGAUCUGUGUAUUAGAUGAAUAAGCAUCGGCUAACUCCGUGCCAGCAGCCGCGGUAAUAC
rnacentral:rRNA from 1 species